rnacentral:rRNA from 1 species
AAAUCCCAUAAAGUUGUUCUCAGUUCGGAUUGUAGUCUGCAACUCGACUACAUGAAGCUGGAAUCGCUAGUAAUCGUAGAUCAGCAUGCUACGGUGAAUACGUUCCCGGGUCUUGUACACACCGCCCGUCACACCACGAGAGUUUGUAACACCCGAAGCCGGUGGAGUAACCUUUUAGGAGCUAGCCGUCGAAGGUGGGACAAAUGAUUGGGGUGAAGUCGUAACAAGGUAGCCGUAUCGGAAGGUGCGGCUGGAUCACCUCCUUU